AUUGAACGCUGGCGGCAGGCCUAACACAUGCAAGUCGAACGAGUGGCGGACGGGUGAGUAAUGUGUGGGAAAGUUCCUUAGGGAGGGGGAUAACUACUGAAAAGGGUCGCUUAUACCGCAAUCCAUGCUAUGUGCCCAGAUGGGAUUAACUUGUUGGUGGGGUAACGGCUCACCAAGGCGACGAUCCCUAGCUGGUCUGAGAGGAUGACCAGCCACACUGGAACUGAGACACGGUCCAGACUCCUACGGGAGGCAGCAGUGGGGAAUAUUGCACAAUGGGCGCAAGCCUGAUGCAGCCAUGCCGCGUGUAUGAAGAAGGCCUUAGGGUUGUAAAGUACUUUCAGCGGGGAGGCGUUACCCGCAGAAGAAGCACCGGCUAACUCCGUGCCAGCAGCCGCGGUAAUAC
rnacentral:rRNA from 1 species